UACGGGGGGGGCAAGCGUUGUUCGGAAUUACUGGGCGUAAAGCGUGCGUAGACGGUUGCGUAAGUCAGAUGUGAAAGCCCCGGGCUCAACCUGGGAAUUGCAUUUGAGACUGCGUAGCUAGGGUGCGGAAGAGGGAAGCGGAAUUUCCGGUGUAGCGGUGAAAUGCGCAGAUAUCGGGAGGAACACCUAUGGCGAAGGCAGCUCGCUGGGACGUUACUGACGCUGAGACGCGAAAGCGUGGGGAGCAAACAGG
rnacentral:rRNA from 1 species